UGAUGGAAAAACAAAAUAUAAUUUACAUGUUAAAUGAAAAAUGUGUUUGUUGUAUGAGUGGCAUAGCUGUCUCAGAUCAGUCAAUGAAUGGCUGUGGUAUUGGUGGACAGAAUGAAACAGGGUAUACUGUAUGUGUUACUAUGGCUGUGGUAUUGGUGGACAGAAUGAAACAGGGUAUACUGUAUGUGUUACUAUGGCUGUGGUAUUGGUGGACAGAAUGAAACAGGGCCUACUGCAUGUGUUACUAUGGCUGUGGUUUGGUGGACAGAAAUGAAAGGGCCUACUGCAUGUGUUACUAUGGCUGUGGUAUUGGUGGACAGAAUGAAACAGGGCCUACUGCAUG